AUUUUCUUUUUAUUUAUUUAUUAUUUUAUUUUUUGUCGCAUUAUUAGUAAAAUCACGUGCAGAAAUUUCCACGCCCAUCGGCGCUGUUUUGGAUUUGCGCUCUCGCGCUAAUUUGCCCAUAAGACUUUUGCGAGAGAGCGCAGAGUUUCUCUUUGGAACGCAAGAUUUUGGGAGAGAACGCAGAGUUUAUUUUUGGAUCACAAGACUUUUGGGAGAGAACGCAAAAUAUCUGUUUGGAACGCAAGACUUUUACGAGAGAAUGCAACUUUUGCAAGGGAACGCAAAGUUCACUCAGUAAAGCAUUGAAAAACAGGUUAUCCUUCUAACUCAAAGUGAACUCAGUGUUUCUCAGGGGAACAAAAAUUGGAUAACUAUAUAUAGGCCAUUUAUAAAUAAUUCAUUUAUAAAUGAAUGAAUGAAUCUUCAGCCAGUUUAUGUCAAUUCUUUUCAAUCACUAUGUAUUAAAAAAAAAAAGAUUUUUUAUACCGGGUUUCUAGGAAACGCCAUGUAAUUGACAGGUUUAAAAAGUGAAUGUGGACCUGUGAUUGGUCCGCAGCGCGACACAUCACCUGGGCGUGACCAUAGGUGUGGACUCUCGCUAUAACCGCAGCCGGAGGCAGAUCGCUGUUCUCGGGUUUGACCGAAGGUGCGAGCAGAACCACUGAGAGCAGCGAUGACCGGGACACCUCUCUGGUGCUGCCCUCCGACAAAAAUACAGCGGACGGGGCAGCAGCGCGUCCUGGAGCAGGUGAACACCAUAAAGAGAAGCAAGUCGAAGAUGGUCAAGAAUGACUCCAUUCCGUCGCCAACAACUCCUAGCAUCGGUGACAGAAUACAGCGACCCUAAAUUCCAGUUCUCACCAACAAAACUGAACGACACACUCUUCAAGUUUAGCAGCUCCAACAUGACAAGCAGCCACAGCAGAAUGGUAAAGUCACACACACACACACACAAUUAUUACAUGCCUAAUAAAGUUAGUGUUUGUCAAAAUAAAAAGUUUAGGCGUUUUAAAAGUUUUUACAAUUUUGUAAA
rnacentral:lncRNA from 1 species